CGUAAAUGGGCUCAUGGAGUCUAACCCUCCUUCACUUUUUCUACACUCAUGUAGUACUACAACAUAUCCAAAGGAGAUCGAAAUCGGGGCCCGACAAGUAGCGACCUUCUACUCCUCAGUCCUCCCCUCACACACACUUUUUUCCAUCCCAGAAAAUUAUUAAAUUAAUUCCUCAAUUCAUAAUCCGAAUCGGAGAUUUUGAUUAUGAUACCAGAAUUAUUUUAUAAAUUUUUUCAAAAUUUUUUAAUUAAAGUACCACGCCAAAAUGGGGG